rnacentral:tRNA from 1 species
GCCGGAGUGGCGGAAUUGGUAGACGCGUGCGACUCAAAAUCGCAUGUCUUCGGGCGUGUGGGUUCAAGUCCCACCUCCGGCACCA